rnacentral:rRNA from 1 species
GACGAACGCUGGCGGCGUGCCUAAUACAUGCAAGUCGAACGCAGUGGGGACGGGGGAGUAACACGUGGGUAACCUCCCAUCAGAGGGGAUAACACUUGGAAACAGGUGCUAAACCGAUACUGAUGGAUGGACCCGCGGUGCAUUAGCGAGUUUGUGAGGUAACGGCUCACCAAGUCCACGAUGCUUAUCUGACCUGGGAGGGUUAUCGCCCACACUGGAACUGAGACCCGGCCCAGACUCCUCAGGGAGGCAGCGUUAGGGAAUCUGCGGCAAUGGACGAAAGCCUGACCGAGCAACGCCGCGUGAGGUAAGAAGGUUUUCGGAUCGUAAAGCUCUUUUGUUAGGGAAGCGGUAUCUAACCAGAAAGCCACGGCUAACUACGUGCCAGCAGCCGCGGUAAUAC